GGCCCCGUAGCUCAGCACGGAUAGAGCAGCGGUUUCCUAAACCGUGGGUCGGAGGUUCGAAUCCUCUCGGGGCCACCA
rnacentral:tRNA from 1 species